UACGAAGGGGGCUAGCGUUGCUCGGAAUCACUGGGCGUAAAGCGCACGUAGGCGGAUCUUUAAGUCAGGGGUGAAAUCCUGGAGCUCAACUCCAGAACUGCCUUUGAUACUGGGGAUCUCGAGUCCGGAAGAGGUGAGUGGAACUCCGAGUGUAGAGGUGAAAUUCGUAGAUAUUCGGAAGGACACCAGUGGCGAAGGCGGCUCACUGGUCCGGUACUGACGCUGAGGUGCGAAAGCGUGGGGAGCAAACAGG
rnacentral:rRNA from 1 species